rnacentral:rRNA from 1 species
GAUGAACGCUGGCGGCGUGCCUAAUACAUGCAAGUCGAGCGAACAGAUGAGGAGCUUGCUCCUCUGACGUUAGCGGCGGACGGGUGAGUAACACGUGGAUAACCUACCUAUAAGACUGGGAUCACCUCGGGAAUCCGGAGCUAAUACCGGAUAAUAUAUUGAACCGCAUGGUUCAAUAGUGAAAGACGGCUUUGCUGUCACUUAUAGAUGCUUCUGCGCCGCAUUAGCUAGUUGGUAAGGUAACGGCUUACCAAGGCAACCAUGCGUAGCCGACCUGAGAGAGUGAUCGGCCACACUGGAGCUGGGCCGCGGUCCAGGCUACUACGGGAGGCAGCAGUAGGGAAUCGUACGCAGUGGGCGGAAGCCUGACGGAGCAGCGCCGCGUGAGUUAUGAAGGUCUUCGGAUCGUAAUACUCUGUUACUAGGGGAGAACAAAUGUGUAAGUAGCUAUGCCCGUCUUGACGGUACCUAAUCAGAAAGCCCCGGCUAACUACGUG